CAGGUCAGUAGAAAAUUUAGAGAAAGCGAGAGAUUUCUGAAUGUUGGAGAUGAAAGAUCAGUUCUAGUUCUAGCUUUAGGAAUCAUCAAGCUUGUAUUCGAGUCUCAGUAUAUUAUUCUUAAUGAGUGUCAUUACUGUCUUAGUUUUCUUUUAAAUAUUAUUUUUAUAGGCCUUUUGGCCAAUUUCAAUUAUGAAAUAUCAAUAAACAAAAACUUUUAUGAUAUC
rnacentral:lncRNA from 1 species